ensembl:lncRNA
UUAUCAUUGGAUUGUGUCUUUCAUAGCUGAAGACUUCUGAAUCUGUUUUGGAAAUGAAGGAAACCUCUCCUAAAAAAAGGCAGCAGAAAUCAGAUUUAUUGGAGGAAUUUGGUUUAGGAGGUGCAGAGGAUAUUGAAGAUGAGUACUCAGGAUCUACCUUUCAUAUGCCAUCAUCAGCUGAAAAAGAAGACAUCAAGGAUGCCAUUGAAAAUUAUGGGGCACAGGAUAAAUAUAUUUUAGAAGCUACCAACUUGGUAGAAAAAACAGCACAUGAAAAUCAGACUGACAAAGCAGAAAUUUCACAUCAGGAAGCCCUAGCAGAAAAUGAGGAAUUGCACAGUGCUGACAAGCAGUUAAGUCCAAAACCUUGGGAAGAAAGAUAUGAAAGGAUGUGGGUUGAAAAGGAGAAAAGGGAAUUGAAAACAAAUUUUAAAAACAUUACAGCAGAGCUGAAGCAGCUGUUUGGUGAAAUUAAUGAAACUGGGAAAACUACUUCCCUUGUGGAAGAAAUGUCAGAAUAUGGCUUCAGUGAAGAAUUGAAGAGUUCUCGUGUUGUUUCAUCUCGUGUGACAGAAUCAAGUAAUAAGUUAGAAACUAAAGGUGAAUUUGGAGAUAUUAAACUUAUGCUAGGUGGAAAAGAACCCAAAAUGGAAAUUGAAAUUCCAAGUCUUGGUGUCCUUCCUGAUCAAAAUAACUUAAAUGCAAAUGUGGAAGAUACCUGGAGUACAGAUGAAGAUAGCACAAAUGGUACAGAUAAUACAAAGGUGCCUCUAGCAAAAGGAGAGGAAAAGAAAAUGCCUACUAUGGAAAUGGAAGAGAAUGAAAAUGGAAGUAGUAGAAAUGUAGAGGGAAGCCCUGAAUACUCCCUGAGACAUAGCUUAAAAACAAGUAUUUUGGAUGAUGCUUCUAAUAUUCUUCCUAAAAUAAGACCUGUUUCUACAAGUGAUGCAAACACACUUUUUGUAACAGAAAGGAAACUUGGAAAAGACUCUGGAUUUAAUUACGAAGUUCCCGGGGACUGCCUGAUCGACAAUUAUAAAAUAGGAGAAACAGAAAUUGACAGUCUUUUUGCAAAUGCUCGGCAAUCAUGUGGCAUGCAGAAAAGAAAUCUUGAUGAAGAACUAAAACAAGAUAUGGAAAGAUUUAAGAGUAAGGUAGGAAUGCUGCAAAUAGUAUUCCUGGCUUUGGAGAAAGAGAAGGUACAGCUGCAAAAAGAGGUUGAGAAGGAAAAAAGCAAAGAAAGAUAUUUCAAAACACAGGACGUGGCAAAACAGGAAGAUCUUGAUAAAUUAAAUACACCGACAGGCAUUGUUACUGAUCAGCACAUGAAAGAAAAGCUUACUCUAAGGAAGAAUGACUGUUUAACAAUGGAGAAUGAAAACAUUAUAGAAGAAAAAGAUGAAAAGAAUUUUUCAUCUGAGGAGAGAUCAAAAUUGAUUAAAUUGCCGAAGAAAGGUAAAUUUGCCCUGAAUACCAAAGUUGCAAAGAAAAAUAAAAGACAGACUUCAAAGCAGAAGGCUAAUCAGCAGAUGAGCACUGCCAGUGGGAAUAAUUUUCAAGUACUAGAUGAUAGCACUUUCAGUGAAACAUCUCAAGAUGAAGGAAGGUACUGAAUAUAAGGAAUAUUAUAAAUAAAACUUACUUAAUGAUAAAAAUUGACCUGAAAGCUAAAGGUAAGUUUUGUAAACCUGAUGUGUACAAUGAUUCCUGUUCUUUAAUGUGACAAUACUACCUGAUACCUACCCUUUGUGCUCAAAAACACUUCUUUUUCGCUUGGAGUGUUUUAAACGUACUGGCCAAGUUAUCGAUAAGGUCAGAUGUGCACAAAUUCUGAGUUUGUGCACGUGCAUAAAUAUAUAUAUUUUAGAGAGACUUAUAGAAGAGCAAAAUAACUCUUUCCUGAAGGCAUCCCAAGUUUUUCCCACCCCCCUCCCCCAAGCUGUUUCCCCUCCCCCAAGCUGUUUCCCCUCCCCCAAGCUGUUUCCCCUCCCCCAAGCUGUUUCCCCUCCCAGCUUCUUGCCCACCCCAAACUUACUUGUGUGGGAGGCAAAGUGAGAACAGGUGUUGACACUGUACAAGCACUGUUCAGCAAUAGCUAAAACUUUGGUGUGUUAUCAACACUGUUUUGGUCAGAAAUCUAACAGACAGCACCCAGCCAGACCCAGUACACUAGAGAAUCCAGAAUUAUUGUUCUUUGACCCGUAAAAGGAUUCUCAGUACUGAAGAGAGCUCAACCUCUAGUAUUAAACAGGAAUGCACAUAUACACAAAUAUACAGUGUACGUGUACAGUGUAUCUACAUAUUUGUAGCUGUAAGAUUCCUGUGACUCUGAGUGAAGUGCAAAGAACAGUUAUUUCAACUAUUUGCUUAAUAUCUUGUGGAAAAAAUAGCCUUCUAAUACACAUAUCAGUACACAAAUUUUUUUCAGUUUCCAACUACAUCUAACAAAAUUCUUAUAUUCAAAUUUAGUUAAUUCACUUCUGAAAUUAAGUUUUCAGAGCCACUUUAGAUAUUGUUCAUAAUGCAAUAUCAGCAUUCCAGUACUGAAUAUAUUUCUGUUUUCCAGGCCUGCAGCAAAAACAGGAAGUGAAAAGAACAAGGUACUGUAAAAUUGGUUUCUUGAUAAACCCUUUUUAUCAGCUUUUAAUCCCUUAUAUGGGAACAGCAUUUAUGUAGUGGUCAACUAGAUGCAGAAAUUGCUUCUAGUAUGCAGCUUCAUCAUAUCUGAGCCAAAUCUAUGGGCUGGGAAUAAAAGAAUGAAGCAUUCAUGCAUUUGUAAUGAUCUGUAAUACUGUGUAGUUGUAUACAGA